AUAGGUUGCAGUGUAUAAUAGUUAUAUUUUUUCCUUGUGAUCCAUUUACACUUUAACACUUUCUGAUUGUACAAUUAUCGGAGCAACGCUCAAAAAACGUUUUGUGUGAUUGAUCGAUUAAAAAUUGAAAGAAGUGGGAAAUAUUGAAUAUUCAAUGACUGAGAAAAUUAAGCAGUCGAAAGAAUUAAAACACGAAACAGAAACGGAGUAUUUUACCAGUGUUAUGCCAUCAGAAGAAAAAUCAGAGAAACAUGUGGCAAAAGAAGCCGACAUUGAGGAUUUAAAACAACUGCGAAGCAAAUACGAGGGGAAAUUAACAGCCUCCCUCUAUGCUGGCACUCUCCUCGUUGCUGUCGUUGCCUUGAUUCCCGCUCUAGCAAUUCUCUGCGUUCCUAACUAUCAGGAUUUAACUAAAGCGACUGUCCCUAUAUCGACUUUGACGAUAUUAUUAUUCUCUUCAUUAAGUUUACUACUAAUAACGCAACUACCGUCCUCGUUAGCAUCCGCUAAAGCCAGACUUCUCAUUGGCUUUAUUGCGUCUGCUACUUUAGGUGUUGGAAUUAUAAUCGUACGUGCUUCGGUACCCUUGUUUAUCGCAGUUCACGCAAUGAUCGCUGUACUACCGAGAGGUAGUCGACAAACACCAACGAUUCUUGCAAUUACGUUAAUUGUUGUCCAUUUAGGCAUGCGAUUCGUGUUUCUCGAUCACUCGAACUACUAUCAAAUAGUCGAGACAUGCAGCGAGAUCGUCUUUCUGUUUGCUGCAGUUUUGUCGGGUUCGUAUUAUAGUAUCCUAACUACAAAAGCGCACAAUAGAACGUUUUCUAGAACAAAAACAGUCAUCGAAUCCAGAAUAAAGUUAGAAUGUGAAAGAGAACAACAAGAACAGUUAUUGUUGAGCGUUAUUCCGGCUUAUAUUGCAGCUGAGGUGAAAAGAAGCAUUAUGUUGAAAAUGGCAGAUGCGUGUCAAGAGGCUCGUAAACAUACGCAAACUAGAUUCCACGAAAUGUACGUGCAACGAUAUAACAAUGUUAGUAUUUUAUAUGCGGACAUUGUUAAUUUUACGCCGCUCUCAGAACAAUUGUCAGCCUCGAAUUUGGUAAAGAUAUUGAACGAACUAUUCGGAAGAUUCGAUCAAAUUGCUCAGGAAAAUCAAUGCAUGAGAAUCAAAAUCCUAGGUGACUGUUACUACUGCGUUUCAGGAUUACCCAUUUCUCGACCGAAUCAUGCGUACAAUUGCGUGACUAUGGGAUUACAAAUGAUAGAUGCUAUCAGAUUCGUUCGCGAAGCAACGGGAUUCAAUGUGGAUAUGCGAAUAGGAAUACACACCGGAAACGUGCUAUGCGGUGUACUUGGUUUACGAAAAUGGCAAUUUGACGUUUGGAGUGAUGAUGUUACACUGGCAAACCAUAUGGAGAGCGGUGGUUUACCGGGCUUUCUUUUUUCAAGGAGAGUGCAUAUAACUAAAGCUACCCUGCUUCAUCUUGGAAAUCACUUCGAAGUGGAACCUGGCAAUGGAGGGUCGCGAGAGAGCUAUCUUGCCCAGCAUAAUAUUGAAACUUUUUUGAUAGUGCCACCAAAGAAAGCCAACCAAGAAAAUCACACGGAUGAUGAGCGCGAACGCAGUGCUGUCUCCAUACCGUCCAGAUCAAGACCAAGCAGUAAAAUGACAAAAUAUGUUGAAAGUUGGGGUGCUGAUAAACCUUUCGCCAACGUUGUAGAAGCUACACUUGCCAAGAAUAUUGGCCUAACGAGCAUCGCUAUGAUUGAAUCGAAUCUUUUCGUAAAUAGUAAUUCUAAUUGUUUUCUCGAUAUAAGAAAAUGGUGUCAGAGCAACGAAGGCAUGUCAUCCUUCACUUAUCGAUUUUAUGAUCAAAACCAAGAACUUCAAUACCGCCAACAGAUUGAUGAACAAUAUCCGUGGUAUCUCCUUGCUUCAACUAUUAUUUAUGCUAUGAUCUUCGCCAUUCAAAUUAUGUAUUUACCGAGGAGCAUCACAGUUUACAGUUGUUUUCUACCUGUUCUAUCAUGUUUAUCCAUUUUUUCCAUAUUAUGUUGGUCAAAUGUUAAAACUAAAAUCGAUGGUAACAAUAUACGAAAUUGGUUAUCUUUGAACAGGGAAGUCAGAAUAACAGUAUAUUUAAUUACGGUCAUUUUAACGAUCACGUCAUGCGUUCUUAGUAUAUUGUUGAACGAUAUCGAGCAGGCAAACAAAUACGAUGUCAUCGUACCACUAUAUAUAUAUACUGCAGUGAUGUCCUUAAUCGUAGGUUGGACACAUUUACGUGUUGAUUUUUUGCUAAAAUUCUGCACAAUGUUCCUCUCUCUAACAACAAUCGUAUUUGUGUUUUCGCAAGCACCAAUCGCACGAUUGUAUAAUGCGAUCGAGGCCGUCGAACAUUAUCGCAUUCAUUAUUUAUUCACAAUUUGUUAUUUGCUUGCACUUGUAUGCCUCGUGCUGCACAUUUUGGAUAGACAAAUUGAAUAUACUUCGAGAACUGAUUUUCUAUGGCAAAAUAAAUUGAAAAUAGAACAGGAUGAAGUAGAAACUAUGAGAGGUAUUAACAAGAUUCUCCUCGAAAACAUAUUGCCUGCUCAUGUAGCAGAGCAUUUUUUAACGAACGUCAGAGCAACUCAGGAUCUUUAUCAUGAAAGAUACAGCAGUAUUGCCGUAAUGUUUGCAUCCAUUCCAAAUUAUAAGGAAUUCUAUGAUGAGACCGACAUAAAUAAACAAGGAUUGGAAUGUCUGAGGCUUCUAAAUGAAAUUAUAUGUGAUUUUGACAAAUUGUUGCUUAAACCAAAAUUUUCUGGAAUCGAAAAAAUUAAAACUAUCGGUAGCACUUAUAUGUUGGCUUCUGGUCUUAGUCCAGGGAAAGAAGAUAUUGAUGAAAAGGAACUUUCAAAACAAGAUCAUAAUAUAAUCAUUCUCGUUGAAUUUGCUCUUGCUUUGAUGACAAUCCUUGAUCAAAUCAACAAGGAAUCUUUUCAAAGAUUUAAAUUAAGAAUGGGUUUAAAUCAUGGACCUGUGAUAGCAGGGGUGAUCGGAGCACAAAAACCUCAAUACGAUAUUUGGGGAAAUACUGUAAACGUAGCAUCAAGAAUGGAUAGUUGCGGGGAAAUGGGAAAACUUCAAGUUACUGAAGAUACAGCCAAGAUUCUAAUUGCUGCUGGUUAUGAAUUGACGUGUCGAGGCCCUACUUAUGUCAAAGGAAAAGGAACUUUAAUAACAUAUUUCGUAAAAACACCAUUCGACGACAAAGAAGAAACUUAAUUUAGGAAUGUUUGACUUAGGUCAGACAAAAUCUAAAGAUGCAAAUGAAACGGAAAAUGCAAUGAAAGAAAAGAGAUAGAGGAACAGUCACUUUGUUCGUUCUAAAAGCCGAACCAAAAAAAGAUCAGAGAAAAAGAAAAAAGAAAGGAAGGAAAGAAGUAAACGAUUUUGUUCAUUCAUUUUUUAAGGACAGAUUAAUCGUAACAGUGUCCUUGAUUUCGCAAACACCAUUCAGGUUGUAAGGUCUCAGCAGAGAUU